rnacentral:tRNA from 2 species
GGAAGGAUGGCAGAGUGGUCGAUUGCACCGGUCUUGAAAACCGGCGAUGGGAAACCAUCCGUGGGUUCGAAUCCCACUCCUUCCGCCA